GUGCUCACUUCAGCAGCACAUAUAGUAAAACUGGAACAGUACAGAGAUUAGCAUGGCCCCUCUGCAAAGAUGACAAAGUGUUCCUUUUGUUUUGUUUUUGUUUU